UACGUAGGGUGCGAGCGUUAAUCGGAAUUACUGGGCGUAAAGCGUGCGCAGGUGGUCAUGUAAGACAGAUGUGAAAUCCCCGGGCUUAACCUGGGAAUUGCAUUUGUGACUGCAUGGCUAGAGUGUGGCAGAGGGGGAUGGAAUUCCGCGUGUAGCAGUGAAAUGCGUAGAUAUGCGGAGGAACACCGAUGGCGAAGGCAGUCCCCUGGGCCUGCACUGACACUCAGGCACGAAAGCGUGGGGAGCAAACAGG
rnacentral:rRNA from 1 species